UACGGAGGGUGCAAGCGUUAUCCGGAUUCACUGGGUUUAAAGGGUGCGUAGGCGGGUUGGUAAGUCCGUGGUGAAAUCCCCAAGCUUAACUUGGGAACUGCCGUGGAUACUAUCAAUCUUGAAUAUCGUGGAGGUAAGCGGAAUAUGUCAUGUAGCGGUGAAAUGCUUAGAUAUGACAUAGAACACCAAUUGCGUAGGCAGCUCGCUAAGCCAUAACUGACGCUGAGGCACGAAAGCGUGGGGAGCAAACAGG
rnacentral:rRNA from 1 species